GAAGGUAUAGCUCAGUGGUAUGGUGCAUGCCUAGUGUACACGAGGCCCUGGGUUCAAUCCCCAGUACCUCCA
rnacentral:tRNA from 1 species